CCGGCGAGUCAAAGGCGGUAGAGCAGCCGAGACCGAGACGUUUCUUCUUCACUUUCCUUCCGUGUGCCCAGCUUCUUCUCCAGGUCCCCCGAGAUGCCAUGGAAGCUCCACGCCAUCGUCCGUCAUCGCUGCCGCCAUCACGGGAGGUACUCCGCCUUGCCUUCUAUGGCACACUCCAUCAAAAUUGAGGCACCCUCCUCUCAGCAGGAAUCCAUGCCGCUCUUUUGCGGACGGGCCAAAUCCCCAUCGAGUUCAUCCAGAAGCUCCUCGACCGUGCGCUGGUUCGCUACGCCCCCGUGGUCGGCCUCCUCGAGGAUAUCCUCACCAUGGCGUGCACCUGUGAGGGUGUGUCGUUUCAUGACGACGAUGGCGAGAUGCUCAAUGGUGGAUCCCUGAAGGCGUGCCGUUCUCGACAGGCCUCCUGGACAACUGCACCAUCAAAUCUCCUGGGCGGACGCUUGGGGAUUCGACUGCGCCGGUGAUGGAGAUGGGACAGGACCCGACGCGGAUGGAGGUCCCUGAUGUCGCGCUUGAUGUCCACCAUGGGGCUGCAGGAGAGAACGGCGGGGGAGCAGCGGAGUUCAUGCUCACGGGUUGGUUCGCCCUUACCUGGUGGUUGUGAUGCUUUUCGUCAGCGAUUGGUGCAGGUUCCAUGUGGUGGAUUGGUGACACUAGGCAGUCCCCGUCCGCAGCCACAGUGUACUGAGAGUCGACAGUUUGGAUGGUAUGCAUUGUCAGCUAUGAACGUAUAGCCUAAUAGCUGCAGCAUGGUUAUAAAAUUUUAAGUACUCUACCAAAAAGGGGACUACGGGCUUCAACAUCAGUAAAUUGAUUAGGAAAUAACACUUCCAAGAUCAUCUACUGCCACCAAGUUCAUGUAGAUCAAAUGUUCAUAGCCAUCAGCAGGUGCAUGAAUUCAGAGGCCGGGCGUGAUGGAAAAUCACAGCUGAGAUUUAUAGUGUUGCGAUGCUAAUUUAGAGAUCUUGGCAAGCAAGAUGUAUGCAAAUUAUUCCGUCGUCUCCUCAACAGCUUCUGGAUGUUCGAAAAUACAAAGCUACUGGCUGGUUUUGAAUACUACUUCCGAACCUAGCCAAAGUGAAGCAGGAGGUUGUCUUGCUGUUAACACCAAUUGCUGCAAGAAAAUGGCAACUUAUUUUUGCCUCUAAUUUAGUGUGAUCAGUUCAGCGACACCACUCAUGAUGCCACUCCUAAUUUGAGAAUAUACGAGAGCUCAUUGUGUCUUUAGCUGAUCAGAACAACAAUCAACUAAAGCAUUGUUUUCUUCCAGAGAGCUCCAUGGUUUGUUUUGCUAUUAUUUCUUAGAUCAUGUUCAGCUCUUUCCAUGGUUCCAAGGCGAUGCAUAUCAGUUGAAGAACAAGCAUGUUGCUCAAGUUUAAUGUUGCACGCAAGGUCACAAAGACUUGAAUCUUCUAGGUUUACUUAAUGGCUAGAACAAAAUCGUCAUCUGAUGCCUUCACCACCAUCCGAGUCAUGACUAGAAUCUUAGAAACCCUCUUCACCGC